AGAGGGCUUCCGGGGCGAACGUCUCGGGGGCCUUUUCUUUUGC
rnacentral:antisense_RNA from 6 species